AUCGCUUCUCGGCCUUUUGGCUAAGAUCAAGUGUACAUGCUAUGCCACAAUACUGGUCCUUUAGUGGUACUAUUUAGUAUUAUGUGUAACUUUGUAUUACUUGAUUUAAAAAAUUUGCAAUGCCCUCAAAAGAACCAUGAGAAUAAAUCCAGGGGUUAUUCAUAUGUUAGUUUAUAUCAUGUGUCAAUGCCAACAUUC